UGAAUACGAGAUGCUACGGCGUCGAAGCAGUGUAUGUCAGACUUCCAAGAAAAGCUCGCAAUGUCAUAAAUAAAGAAUGCCUGUACCAUAACCGACACAGGUGGGUAGGUAGAGUAUACUAAGGGGCGCGAGAUAACUCUCUCUAAGGAACUCGGCAAAAUAACUCCGUAACUUCGGGAGAAGGAGUGCCUUCUUUAAGAAGGUUGCAAUAACAAGAUCCAAGCAACUGUUUAUCAAAAACACAGGUCUCCGCUAAGUCGUAAGACGAUGUAUGGGGGCUGACGCCUGCCCAGUGCCAGAAGGUUAAAGAAGUUGGUUAGCUUUUGCGAAGCUGAUGACUGAAGCCCUGGUGAACGGCGGCCGUAACCAUAACGGUCCUAAGGUAGCGAAAUUCCUUGUCGGGUAAGUUCCGACCCGCACAAAAGGCGUAAUGAUUUGGAUACUGUCUCGGAGAGGGACUCGGUGAAAUAGACUUGUCUGUGAAGAUGCGGACUACCUGCACCAGGACAGAAAGACCCUAUGAAGCUUUACUGUAACUUGAAAUUGAAAUUGGACUUUAUUUGCGCAGUAUAGGUGGAAGGCGUUGAAAGUAAUCUUGCGGGAUUAGUGGAGCCAUCAGUGAGAUACCACUCCUAUAAUGUUAGAUUUCUAACUUUGGAUCAUGAUCUGGUCAAAGAACAGUUUCAGGCGGGCAGUUUGACUGGGGCGGUCGCCUCCCAAAUGGUAACGGAGGCGUACAAAGGUUUCCUCUGAACGGGUAGAAAUCGUAUCUAGAGUGUAAAGCAUAAGGAAGCUUGACUGUGAGACCUACAAGUCGAGCAGGGACGAAAGUCGGUCUUAGUGAUCUGACGGUGCUGAGUGGAAAGGCCGUCACUCAACGGAUAAAAGUUACUCUAAGGAUAACAGGCUGAUCUCCCCCAAGAGUUCACAUCGACGGGGAGGUUUGGCACCUCGAUGUCGGCUCAUCGCAUCCUGGGGCGGUAGUACGUCCCAAGGGUUGGGCUGUUCGCCCAUGAAAGCGGUACGCGAGCUGGGUUCAGAACGUCGUGAGACAGUUCGGUCCAUAUCCGGUGUAGGCGUUAGAAUAUUGAGAGGAGCCUUCUUUAGUACGAGAGGACCGAGAAGGACAUACCUCUGGUGUACCAGUUAUCGUGCCAACGGUAAACGCUGGGUAGCUAUGUAUGGAGAGGAUAACCGCUGAAAGCAUCUAAGCGGGAAGCCCACCUCAAGAUGAG
rnacentral:rRNA from 1 species